rnacentral:rRNA from 1 species
UAUUUUAAUGAGAGUUUGAUCCUGGCUCAGGAUGAACGCUGGCGGCGUGCCUAAUACAUGCAAGUAGAACGCUGAAGGAAGGAGCUUGCUCUUUCCGGAUGAGUUGCGAACGGGUGAGUAACGCGUAGGUAACCUGCCUCUUAGCGGGGGAUAACUAUUGGAAA